rfam:Laccaria bicolor S238N-H82 LACBIscaffold_10 genomic scaffold, whole genome shotgun sequence.
GCCCGUAUAGCUCAGUGGUAGAGCAUUGUACUUAUGAGGAUAUCCACCCAUUGCAUGCAAGGGUCUCGAGUUCGACCCUCGAUAUGGGCA